UACGUAGGGUCCGAGCGUUUGUCCGGAAUUAUUGGGCGUAAAGAGCUCGUAGGCGGUUUGUCGCGUCUGCUGUGAAAACUGGAGGCUCAACCUCCAGCCUGCAGUGGGUACGGGCAAACUAGAGUGCGGUAGGGGAGAUUGGAAUUCCUGGUGUAGCGGUGGAAUGCGCAGAUAUCAGGAGGAACACCGAUGGCGAAGGCAGAUCUCUGGGCCGUAACUGACGCUGAGGAGCGAAAGCAUGGGGAGCGAGCAGG
rnacentral:rRNA from 1 species